UACAGAGGGUGCAAACGUUGCUCGGAAUUAUUGGGCGUAAAGCGCGUGUAGGCGGCCUGUUAAGUUGGUUGUGAAAACCCAUGGCUCAACCAUGGAAGUGCGUCCAAAACUGGCAGGCUAGAGUUCUGACGAGGAUGGCGGAAUUCCCAGUGUAGAGGUGAAAUUCGUAGAUAUUGGGAGGAACACCGGUGGCGAAGGCGGCCAUCUGGGAAGAUACUGACGCUGAGACGCGAAAGCGUGGGGAGCAAACAGG
rnacentral:rRNA from 1 species